GUUUAAUAAAUUUCUGCAAGGCCCUGGAGAAAAUGCUUUGACUUCAAGUGACAAGGUUAUUGGAUUUAAAAGGAAGCUGAUCAUGCUGCAAAAGGAAAUCUUGAAAUGUUUCCACUGCUGCUUGGGCUUGAGAGUGAGGAUGGAUAUCAGAAAGUCUUGAGUCUUAUUGAAAACCACCUGCAAGAACUGCAGAACAAAAUUUGUUACGUAUUCGUGGAUAUCUUGCACCUGUCACAUGACCAUGAUGUGAUUGAGACUAUGCUGGACAUGAGGUCUUGUGAUGGUGGAGUGACAUCAUUUUCCCACCAGUGAGAGGUCAUGUGAUAGUUUUUUUCAAAAGGGUAUAAAAGGAGGACCCUUCCAUAUGAGGUGGGGCAGUUGUGGUUGAAUUUGAUAGUGACUGUUGAUAGUGAUUGUUGCUGCAUAUUUGAUGUUAUGACGCAGUUUUAUUUUAAAAUGGAGUUUUACUUUCUGCCUUAAGUCAAAGGUUAUUGCUGGCAGUUUUGCUACAAUACUGCCAGUUAAAAUCCAGUUGGAGAGUGAAGAUUCGUCAAAGUUCGGGAAGCUGAAAGAUCGAGGAAAGUUGAUGUCGGCUGUGAAGCCGGUUCGACAUUUAUUUAAUCUUCGCACGAGGAAUUAGUAACCUGUGUCCGUGUUAACUCCUGCUUUGCCAAAUGAGCAUAAAGAGUUGGAUGCAGAGUUUCGCCAAGGAAAGGUCAGUCCCUUUAAGCCAUUUUAUUUCCUGCAAUCGUAAAUCCCUCGGCAAAGCAUGCUUCAGCUGGGAUCAGCAGAAAGAGAAUUUAUUAUCCCAAGGAAAACCUCUCCUAAGUGACUGUGUAAACAUUUGGACUUUUGCAUUACUACUUCUAAGAACUGUUCUCGCACUAUCGCUUUAAGAACUGUUCAAGCUGCUGCAGAGCAGCCAACUUCCGGUUAAGUUAGUCAUUUGUUUACUUUUGGGGUUUUUUUUUAGCAGUGUUUAAUAAAUGUUUUAUUUGUUAUAAAAACAUGUCUCAAUUAUAUAUUCAUCGUUGCUGGAUUGUAACCAAUUGAACAGUAUUUUUCCUCCCUUUCAACACAAGUGCAUGACUGGGUGAGGGAGCCUUUCUCUGAAUCUUCUGCUCAGCCUGAGAACUUGACUUUGAGAGAAGAGGAAGAACUUUGUGAGCUGCACUCUGAUCAUGCUCUCAAGAUGAGAUUUAUGAACCUGCCCCUGGACAAGUUCUAGAUUCCUGUGAAAAAAGAGCAUCCUGCCAUUCAUAGGGAAGCAAUGAACAUUCUGCUGCAGUUUUCAACUUCUUACAUGUGUGAGCAAGCUUUUUCUUGUUUAACAAGCAUCAAGAGCAAGGACAGAAAUCGUCUCAAUUCAGUUGAAGGUGAAAUCUGUGUGCUUAUCUCAAGUUUGAUCCAGAAUUGAGAAACUUAUUAUGUUUGCCUUAAGAGUUUUAAAAAUUUAUGAAAAAGAAAGCAAGAGUAAUUUCAAGAAAGUUUAUUGACUGAAGAAACUCUGUGGACUUCCUUGGAUUCAGCCCACUGAGAAAAGAUUUCCAGCAUCUACAGCUUAUCGACCGUCAUCCCAGUGCAUGCUUUUGGUUAAAAAAGUCUUCCUUCACCUACUUUUGUUUCCUCGGGCUACUGGCCUAGCAGGUCCAUAGAGCAUCAGCAACAAGCUGCAGAGGAGGUAGCGUCCUGGACUUCUGCUCGACAGCAUGGUAGCCAAGAACAGGGCAUUGUCAAAUGAGCCUUGUCCACAUUGUUAUCUGACCACUCUGCAUUAUACCAGCGCAACCCCUUUCAUUUAACUGUUAUCAAAACUCCAAGUAUAUGUAAAUUAUUUCUUUAUUUAGCUUUGUUUAAAUGAAAUUUAUGAUUUUAGUUAAUUGAUAGCAAUUUCAUGUGUUCCUAAUUCAUCAUAUAAAAUAUAACUUAUUUUUAACAGUCUUCAAAUGUUUCUGAAGAGUAUUUGGAGAAAAUUAAAAUUCUUCCUGACAGACCAUGGCAGGGUCUUACUUUAUGAUGUCUACAGCACAACUGGUGCAAACUACCAGCCGAGCCUCACUGAAGAACUGUGGCAGUGGUACCAGAAGUUGUCUUGGAUCCAAAUGGCCUGAAACUUUAAUACAGUUAUAGGGCUGGAAUGAGUGGUAACUGCAAGACGCAAGCUGUGAGAUCACUACAAUCAAAUCUUUACUUAAUCUAAACCUCUGGCAGAUAUAACAGUAUUUUACGUGUUGUUACUGCAGUGCACAUAAAUACUGUGAUUAGUUGACUAGUAAUACACUGCGAGUCUCAAAGUGGAUGUGAAACUGUAAAGUGUGUAAUUAACUCAUUCAAGAGCAUCUGUGGAGUGUUCCAAACAAUUAGUAACUACCAAGGGUUUCAAUGUAACCCUUGCAUUGUGGCUGAUAGCUCCCUUUUCAUUGAAAAUGAUUGCUUCGGUUCACAAGAUUUGUUGCAAGAAAUGUAGUGGUAGCGGUUGGGGUGACAGAGAACCCGGAUGCAACAGUAUUGAUGGCCUUUCAAAGCACGGGGUCAGCGGGUGGGCCUAUCUGCACCAUUGCAAUGAAGGCUUCUUAUUGCUUGAUCUCUAAUCUAUGCCAUAUCUCAUUAUAAAAAAGCAGCUAAUAAUCUCAGGCAUUUCAUUGUUAAAAUCCAGAAUGUUACUGCAAUGACUCAGU